UACAGAGGGUGCAAGCGUUGUUCGGAAUUAUUGGGCGUAAAGAGCUCGUAGGUGGCUUGUCACGUCGGGUGUGAAAGCUUGGGGCUUAACUCCAGGUCUGCAUUCGAUACGGGCUGGCUAGAGGUAGGUAGGGGGAGAACGGAAUUCCUGGUGUAGCGGUGAAAUGCGCAGAUAUCAGGAGGAACACCGACGGCGAAGGCAGCACUCUGGGCCGGUACUGACGCUGAGGAGCGAAAGCGUGGGGAGCAAACAGG
rnacentral:rRNA from 1 species